GACUCUUAGCGGUGGAUCACUUGGCUCUUGCGUCAAUGAAGAACACAACUAGCUGCGAGAAUUGUGAAUUGCAGGACACAUUGAUCAUUUACACUUUGAAUGCACUUGCUUCCCCGGGUUCCUCCCCGUGCUACGCCUGUCUGAAUUUUG
ensembl:rRNA 5_8S_rRNA 5.8S ribosomal RNA